rnacentral:ncRNA from 2 species
AAUACUCUAACGGGGUGCUCCGAUUUUGGUUCGGGGCUGAGAGGCUUACGCCAACCCGCGGAACCUGAUCCGGUUAACACCGGCGGAGGGAUUAGAGGUGCAUUUCUG